GAAAGCACUUGAACAUUAUCAACUUUGUAAGCCUACUUGGGUAUUGAGCAUUUAUCUGUAAGAACUGAAUUCGGUGCAAUGGAUAAUUGUAACUCUGGAAAACAGAAUCUGCUAAAUUUUUUUUUCCAUUGAAUCAAUCAUUUAUUUUAUAUAUGCUUGGAUAAGAUAGCGAUUUUUUAUCUGCAUCCAGUUGGUUCGUUUGAUUUGUGCUCGAGCCGGAUGAUGAAAAAUUAUCAUGUCCGGUUCUUUCGGGGGAUGGAUCCCUAAUAAUCCACCUAUCC